rnacentral:pre_miRNA from 1 species
AGUACAACUGCUGUAUCGUAUGGUAGAAGUAAAUUUAGCUUUUUAAAGAAACUACUAAGCUAUCUUCUAAAGUCACUGUACUAUUUUGCAUUCCCACAGCAAU